UGGAUAUGAAUUUCAAUUUUCUGAGGCCAAAAAUGGCUUUUAACUGAAUGUUUCUCAGAAUAUCCAAAAAUUAAGGGAAGUUGGACGCAAAGAGCUAAAAAACUAAGACAGCUAAUGCAGCUCAGAUAAGGUGUCAUCACAGGAAGAUUAGACAAAUUAAAAAAACUUCCUGCCUUCAGGACCUGUAUGCAGAUUGCAGCUGCUGAGGAAAGGUCUCAUUGCAGAGACAGAAAAUGCUACUGAGAUACCUUGAGCCAUUUCUGUGGCAUGGAGCAUCAUGAGAACUAAUAAACUGUCCUUACAGUUUGUCUGAAAUCAGUGAUGUCUUAUGUGAAUAUUUCCUCAGUGACUGAUGAAGAGGCGCAGCUGUGUUUUGGUGUAGCUGGAGUGUAGUUCACUGCUGAAAUGUUUGUGUUUAAGGUAGUCCAGGGGAAAGAUGCAGUGAAGUUGCCAAGGUGACAGAAAAGGGAAUAGAUAGAUCUUUUGCAUUCUUCUUGGAUGUCACUACAAUAAAUCUCUGCUUCAUGAUGCUAAAUCUAGAGCCUUCAACCAUCCAGAAUUCCUGUGACCAGAUAAUCAUCAAAUCCUGUGUAGCUUCUUUUCUGUGUGAAAGCAGGAGGGCUAGGAACCCUCUGAUGAAAGUGAAAACUGAAAAAGUUCAAUUCUUGUAGCAAGAAAUCAACUCCAUCUUUGCAGUAGUAAUAAUCUCUGUAAGGUUUGCCAGCAGAUGCCAGCAGUGAAUUAGGACUUGUGAAUAAUAAAAGGAGCUGUAUAUA